rnacentral:misc_RNA from 1 species
GAUGAAGAACGCAGCAAAAUGCGAUAAGUAGUGUGAAUUGCAGAAUUCAGUGAAUCAUCGAAUCUUUGAACGCACAUUGCGCCCGUCAGUAUUCUGGCGGGCAUGCCUGUUCGAGCGUCAUUACGCCCCUCAAGUCCCCUGUGGACUUGGUGUUGGGGAUCGGCGAGGCUGGUUUUCCAGCACAGCCGUCCCUUAAAUUAAUUGGCGGUCUCGCCGUGGCCCUCCUCUGCGCAGUAGUAAAACACUCGCAACAGGAGCCCGGCGCGGUCCACUGCCGUAAAACCCCCCAACUUUUUAUAGUUGACCUCGAAUCAGGUAGGACUACCCGCUGAACUUAAGCAUAUCAAUAAGCGGAGGA